rnacentral:misc_RNA from 1 species
ACGGCAUCAUCUGGAAGCCAGGACGGAACCAAUC